rnacentral:piRNA from 1 species
UGAUGCCAGACAUGGAUAAUGCAUCUUUU